rnacentral:tRNA from 1 species
AAACGAUGAUUACUCACGAUGAGUGUCCACACAGAUUGAUACGGUUUAUAAAGUAAAGAGAAGAGAGUUCCCAAACUCUCAGGUUUGGUUCUGCUUUUUAAAGUGGAAACAGACAGCAGUGUCCCGUUCGUCUAGAGGCCUAGGACACCGCCUUUUCACGGCGGUAACAGGGGUUCGACUCCCCUACGGGAUACCAUCUUUAAACAUUCUCUCUUGAGAGUUUUUAAAAAUGGUUACUUCAUUAGAAGUGAUUAGCUCUUUAACAAUUUGGAAAGCUGACAAAACAACAAUUUAUUGUUGUUUGUGAAGUUCUCAAUGUUUGUCUUUAAGACAAACACCAAAAUAACACAUUCAAGUGUUCUUGGAAUUUGAGUCCGGCAAAAUCGAGUCUGCAUCAUGUAUAAAAAUUGCAGACAACUUUGGUGACUUGUUCAUCAACUCGAAACUCCUUCGGGUUGUAU